AACGAACGCUGGCGGCAGGCUUAACACAUGCAAGUCGAACGAGCUGGGGGCUUCGGUCCCCGAUGCUAGUGGCGCACGGGUGAGUAACACGUGGGAAUAUGCCCUUUAGUACGGAAUAACCAAGGGAAACUUUGGCUAAUACCGUAUACGCCCUUCGCGGGAAAGAUUUAUCGCUUAAGGAUUAGCCCGCGUCUGAUUAGGUAGUUGGUGGGUUAAUGGCUCACCAAGCCGACGAUCGGUAGCUGGUCUGAGAGGGUGACCGGCCACAGUGGGAGUGAGAUACGGAAAAGACUCCUGCGGGCGGGAGCAGUGGGGAAUAGUGAACAAGGGGCGGGAGCCGGAGGUAGCAACGCCGGGUGGGGGAUGACGGCCUGGGGGUUGUAAACAGCUUUCGCCUGGGACGAAGCGUGAGUGACGGUACUGGGUAAAGAAGCACCGGCUAACUACGUG
rnacentral:rRNA from 1 species